GAAAGGCAAAAUCCAUGUCGCAAACCAAAACGUCAAAUCAACUGUUCGUUGAAUCACAUAUCCACACUAUAAAAGACAAGAAUUACAUUCUGUUAGAAUAAACACUCUCUGUUUCCCCCCUUUGCCUCUCCCACAAAAGAAAUGUCAAAAUUCAUGUCUCAAACCAAAAUGCCAAAUCAGCUAUUCGUUGAAUCACAUAUCUACACUAUAAACGACAAUAAUUAUAUUCUACUAGGCUAAACACUUUCCAUUUCCCCUUCGCUUCUCCCGCAAAAGGAAAGUAAAAAUCCAUGUCGCAAACCAAAACGCCAAAUCAGUUGCUCGUUGAAUCACAUAUCCACAUUAGUCCUCCUCCCACAGCUACAGAAACCUUCACAAUGCCAUAACACCAUCCUAAUCUACAAAAACUACUACAACUGAAACAUUUCCUAAUUCAACAACUUCCUCCUCAUUAUCCAAAAAUCAGUUUCUAUUUCUAUAACCAGCUCCCUCCACCAAAUCACACAUAACGUAUCCAUUUGCUUAUCAUCCAUAAACACAAGUCCACACAAGCAAACAAAAACUUAAUCCAAAUCAUUUCACACUACCUCAACUCAAGCAAAAUACAGUAAAAUGCUCAAUGUAUGCAUUGCAAAUAAGAACAAUCAUUAAACAAACAAAUGUAAGCUAAAAUUAAUAGAAACACACCCACAACAAUAGUAUCAAAAUCAACAGAAAACGAAAAAAAAAGCCAUUGAAUUAACUCUCUAACCUGAAAUGAUGAUCGACAAAUUCGUAUUUUCGAAUGAAAACCAAAUCCGCAGUGAUGAAUAAUUGAUUUUUCACUAAACAAUAAUAUUUUGUAAAAUCAAAUCAUUUUUUUUCGUGUGUAGAAAUUUACAGAAAAUUUUGGGAGAGAGUCUUCGCGGUAAUCAAUUUAUAGUAACAUCGAAUACUGGAGUAAGGAGCAAGAAUAUUUUUUUUUUCC
rnacentral:lncRNA from 1 species